UACGUAGGGCGCAAGCGUUAUCCGGAAUUAUUGGGCGUAAAGAGCUCGUAGGCGGUUUGUCGCGUCUGCCGUGAAAGUCCGGGGCUCAACUCCGGAUCUGCGGUGGGUACGGGCAGACUAGAGUGAUGUAGGGGAGACUGGAAUUCCUGGUGUAGCGGUGAAAUGCGCAGAUAUCAGGAGGAACACCAACGGCGAAGGCAGCGCUCUGGGCCGUAACUGACGCUGAGGAGCGAAAGCAUGGGGAGCGAACAGG
rnacentral:rRNA from 1 species